rnacentral:lncRNA from 1 species
UAGUUUAUCAUACCCAACCAGCUCGAUUGUUCUUGUAGUCAGUAAAGGGCGUUGAGGAUACACCAAAAGGUAGAGCAAACCAUCCAUCCGAUUCAACUGGUUAUAGGCAAUGUUUCCCAUAGCUUGCUUACCCAUAGCACACUGAUAGGUAUUCCUGGGGGACUGAUUGUGAUGCGGAUAAGGUAUCAAACCAGCACAAACACCUAAGAUUGUGAAAGGCUCAAUCUCAAUAUGUGUUGUCUCUGGUGUCGCCUCCUUUUCGUAUAGAGCAAUCUGAGGAACAUGCAUUAUUGCAGUCAGUUCUAGCGUAAUUAAUACUCUUUUAACAUAAAAUACACUUAUCAUUUGCUUGACACGGACCAAUGUGUUGUUCUCCUCGUUGACAUCAAGAUAUUCUAUCAAACCAUCCUUUAGAAAGCUGUCGAAGUCACGCAAACCAUCCUUCAAUAAAAAAAUCAGAUCAGAUGGGGAACUGACAUCAAAACAUACAGCUCAGAAGCAAGAACCAGCUAAGAUGAGUACCCUCAACUCUCUCAUGUGGUGCUCUUUGAUCCUGGAAACACCUUUGUCAGCAAUGACAAGCGGACGACAAACACGUCCACCAUCUGAAGCAAUGUAGACACACCGCUGCAAGAGAUUUUCCGACUUAUAUAUAAUCAUUCAAAUCAUAUUUCAAAUGAUAAAAGCAAAGAGGAAAAAUGCAAAUAUUUUGCUAACAGCACCACUAUGGUGGAGCAAUGCUAACCAAAAACUACCAGAGAUAUAAGAAUUGUCUAUGAGACUCUGAAUCUAGUCUUCAUCCUGACAGUUUGAACCAAAAGGAAUUCAACCCCAGUAUAGGUAGUUUUAUCAACUGACAAAAUAAAUACUAGGACGGAGAUGCAAAAGAACCAACUGUUAAAUUACCUGCUUUUCAUUCACGAAGAUGCUUACAAACUCCCCAACUUUACCAGCCCUCCGUAGCCUCCUCAUUGCAUUAGCAAAUCGCUGAUUAAAAUAACAGUUCAUUGGUGAAAGGUAAACAACAAGCCUAACUUCAGAUGCAGAAAUUUGAGAAAUAUAGUUGUUCCACUUCGAACAUACCUGAGGACUCUUGUGCUUGCCUAGAAUAAGUCCAUUUAAUGUGAUAAGAUAGGAAGUUGGCAUGUGAAGCUCUUCUGGCGAAAGCUGUUCCAAGUCCUCAACACCCAAGCAGUAGCACUGUUCCACAUGUCACAGAAAUGAAGUGAAAACUUUACUAAUUGAAACUAGCACAAACUGAAAAGUUGGAUUUUUCUGUGGCUAUUAAUGCAAAAAUACAACACAAUAGGAAGUUAACUAUCUCUUACAAGCUACUACCAUCAAUUGUACCAGGUAAGUCAGUCCAUUUAGGCCUAAGGAAAUGAUGACAGACUCACUUUCUUUGAGCUCGCCUUUUCAACAUGACCCUUACCAACUCUCUACGAAUUACGAAGACCAACAUGAAGCAAAAAAAGUAUAAUCCUCCUCGUUCUUGACUAUAAAUUUCGGUCCAUUUAGACCUAUCACAUUCCAAUAUCUGAGACUACAGUUUCUCAACAUUUUCUACUAGCAUACAAUCCCAAAGUUAUCAAUAUCAUAGUACCAAUGCAAUCCCUAAAUAAGUAUAGCAUGCAGAGCCUGUGAUACCUACAAGUUUCAUCAUGUUGAUCCUAAGUGCAAAACUGUUUUUAAAACAUAGAAAGUGUGAUAAGGAAAAUACAAAGAUAUGUGAAAUCAUUACAGAGCACAAGAUUACAAUCAGCAAAUUGCGUUUCGGAGAUUAUAACCCAUCAAAUCCCGCUGUGAAAAUUUCAACAAUUAACAAGUUCCUAGUCACAUAGAAAAAUUAUCAUCCCCGUGCUUUUUCUUUUGGUUGAUUUUUUUUUAAGGAGACAAUCAAGCUAAGAUAAGAAGAAUUAGAUUGCUAUGCUAUAUCUAGAUUACACAUGAGAAUAUUCCCAUAAUUAGAAAUCCUAAGGAUAAAACUUUUCAUAUUCUCAUCCAGAAAUCCUACAUAAGGAGCUGUCUUUAUGUUGUUUUGACCAGUUCAGUUAGAGUUUGAACUUUUUCAUCACUUGUUUCUCCUACGAAAAACAAACAACUAAUACAUAACCUUCCACAGGUAGAUUAGUUUUUAGCAUAUCAUGUGUGUAGGCAGACCUUACCCCUACCUUGGAAGGUAGAAAGGUUGUUUCAGAUAGACCCUUGGCUCAAGUAAAAUCACUUCAAAGCAAUUUGAAAAAAGAAAAAACUGGAGUGAAGAAGCAACAAAGUACUAAAGAGAUCAGGACAGAACAUUCUUAAAAAGGUACAGUAACUAUAACACAGGUAGAUUAGUUUAAUAUAAAAAUUUAUGUAGUAAUAUGGUCAAAACAUUGGGAUCGAAAGAUUAACAAGAAACAAUCACAUUCCUGGGCUUCCUUGUUUCCAUGAAAGCUUCUAAACAUAAUCCUCAACUUCUGGUUUUAACUUUUAUAAUGACCAUAGUCCCCUUGUGAUUUUGAGAUUUAUAAUAUCAAGUGUAAAAGCUCAGAGUUAAGAAAUAACCAAAUAAAGAUUCAGGAUACUACUUGUACAACUUCAUUACACACUUAAAUACCAAGCGGUAGGAACAUAAAUAAUAGAAACUGUACCAAAGACAUGAUUGGGCGCUCAUCCUCAUCAGUCGUAACAUGAGUCAUCAAGGCCAAGUUUUUCACCAAUCCACAAGCUUCACCUUCUGGUGUGUCACAAGGGCAAAGCAUGCCAAACUGACUAGGUUGCAGUGCUCUAGGACCACUAACUUUUCUAGACUUUUCAAAUUGUGGUGAGAUUUUUGUCAUGUGACCUAAUGAUCCAAUGUAUGACAACCUAGCAACAACCUGAGUCAUACCCUUCCUGUGCAUCCUAAACCGUUUAACAUCCCAAUUGCCUGUAGAUAGGGUUCUCUCCAGGCCCAUAGUAAUACUAUCUUUGAUUAUGUAUUGAGAAAUGUCCAAACGGCUGGAGCGACUUGGCCUGGCUAGAAGAGUAUCGAUUGUCCUCCUAGCUUCAUCAUUCAUCGUCUUGAACAAAUCUUCAAAAAGGAGAGAUAGCAGCUGACCGGAGAGCUCCAAUCUCUUGUUCCCCACAUAGUCCUUGUCAUCCAUUGCAUCCUUGUUUAAGAUUGCUUCCAUCAUGCGCCUCAUCAUUACUGCAACAUAUAUGCAUUUUUUGCGGAAAUUAUGUUGAUGGACUGGAACAUUUGCAAGAAAUAUGUCACGAAGAAUACUCAAAGCUCGGGCGCCCUUCUCAAUUGGGCCAGUAGAAUAUGAAGGCAUUUUAAGCAUCUUGUCACUCUCGAGGAACUCCAGUGCUUGUUGUUGUGUAUACAACUUGAGAUCUGCACACUCCUCGAUUGAUGGCAAAAGCAGAGCACUAAACCGAGGAUCUCUUCCUAUCAUUUGCACAACCUCUUGAUCGCUCUCCAUUCCCAUGGCCUUCAUGACAACCAUUAUGGGGACCUUGGUUUUGAACAUAUUCAACUCUAAGUACACCUUUUCUUUCUCCAUUUUUAUAAUUGUUUUGCUCUUUGUUUUUUCUGUGCUGCUGGUAACAGAUGCUUGUACAGAACCUUUUUUAUCUGUAUCAAUGAUUAUCCUGUUCUUCGAGAGCUGCUCUUGAAUUAAAAUAACCUUCUCAGUGCCUUUGAUUACAAAAUAUCCUCCAGGAUCAAGUGGGCAUUCUCCAAGUCUUGCUAGUUCAUCUUCAUCUUUCCCAUAUAGCACGCAACAACUGCUUCUAAGCAUAAUUGGCAUCCUUCCAAUGAUAACAUUCUUCUUUGUUGACACUGAUGUUUGCCCAUGACUUCCUGUCGUGUAGUCAAUGGUGACAUAAAUUGGUGCUGCAUAGGUACGGUCAGAUAGUCGGCAUUUCUGUGGACAUAAUUUCUCGGUUACAGCAUCAAAAACCAUUGAUGGUUCACCAAUGUGAACAUCCCUGUACCUAAGAUAAAUAUUGGGGUCCAAUGUUGAUCUAAUCUCCUGAUUUGCUCGGACAAUCUUCUUUAUUUCCGUCCUUACAAAAUAAUUGAAGGAGUCCAAGUGUUGCUUCACCAAACCUCUCACUUUUAGGAAUUCUGGAACAAGUUGAUACUUGUCCACCAAAUUCUUAAUGUGAGAAGCAAGGUGCUGCUUGUCAAUUCCCUGGUUUGAGUCCUCUGUCGUAUUGGACAUGGUAGAAUCAUAACCCAUGUCCUGCCAAUCAAUUUUCCAGCUGAACAAAGACAGAAACAAUGAGAUUGUAGCAGGAGCAAGAUGGGAGUCAAAAUAAUGCAAGAUGAUUUCUUUUCCCCUGCCAUAACAAGGUAUAAAGCACAAUUAGUGGGGGGACUAAUUUGAAAGCAAUUUUACACAAAUAGACAAGUAGAACUAUUAACCAUCAAUAGCAGUUUGUAUCCAGAAAGUGACAUGUUUAUGUAAUGAGAAUGAUGCAGGUAUACAUACACAAGUAUGAAUGGCAGUUUCCUUACAAAUUUCUGCUAUAUUCCAACCACAUUUCAAGAAUAAAGCUUCGUAGCUGGCCAUUACCACACAGUAUCAUUUAGAGAAGCAUAGAAACUUUUAAAGUAUUUAGCGAAUCAUAGUAUUUGUUUCCAUUAUCCGCAUUCUACCAUCUAGAAAUUAACACAAGUACACAAAAGAAAAACUAAAAGCAAAAAUGCCUAGCAUGCAUCUUUUCUUCUCUUCAUAGUUCAUCUUUUCAAAUGUUUUCUUCCAAAACCAAAUCAUUCUUUCUUCUCAUCUCCAACACAACUGAACCUUUGCAAAAAAAUGAACAUCGAGAAUCAAAGCCCUAAAGCAUUGGCAAAACUAGCAUACAAUUUUGAUCCCCAAAUUCUUUCUUUUAGUGAAUUCUAAUUAUUUGGUUCCUUCUAGAACCCAGUACACUAAACCUCCCACUAUAUGUGAGUCCAGGGAAAAGCCGGACCACGAGUCUACUGUACACAGUUUUAACCAGCAUUUCUACAAAAGUUGGUUUCCAUGACUUGAACUUAUAACCUCCGGGUCACAUACUUUACCGGUUAUGUCAAGGCUUCAUAUUAAUAGCGAAAAUGAUAAUUUCAAUCGUAUCAAAACAUCAACAAAUCUAAACAAACUUUUUUUUUUGCGGAAAUAAAAAACUUAACAACUGAAACAAAGAAGAAGAAAGCUUACGAUUUGAAGCCCAAAUUUUCAGUCCGAUUGCUCGUUUGUAGUUUUUACUUCAGAGCUUUGCUCCAAGGGUUUUAAUGGAACCCAGCCAAAGUGAAGGCAAAAAGAGUGAGGGUUUUAGGGAGAAGGGGACAAAGAAAAAAUGAAAGUUUUAUUUGCCCAAAAACAAAUUGUAAAUAAUUAAUGGAGAAGUUGCACAAAAAAUUAUUUUACUUUAUUUGACAUAUGAUUCGUGAAAAUUGUAAAUUCAAUUUGAAGUUGUGAUUAUAAUAUAUUUUUGAGUGAAUUUUCACUUUUAGACAAACUAGUCUCCGGGCACGUUGCCCGUGUAUCCCAAUCUAUGUCCUAGGUGUGGACGAAGAUCGAGACUUUCCUAAAAUCUGAUUUGAUGGUAUAUCCCUCUUCUAUUGGAAAUAAAAGAAAAGUACCCACUAAUAGACUGGAUUGCCUGCAACCUCAUUUACAAAAGGCCCUGAAAGAUCUAUCUCGUGUCUGGUACUGCAUGGUUCCACUCUGCAAGAACCCCGAAUCAGUCUGUUGAAGCUCAUCUUUUUCAUCAUAAAAGAUCCGCUUGCCCCGAAAUGACCUGGACCAAUAGGGAAAUCCCAAUUCAUUGGGCCUUUCGAUACAAUCAAAUAGAAAGUUCCAAGGACGCCAUAUUCUAGGAGCCCAAACUAUGUGAUUGAAUAAAUCCUAAAAAUCAAUAAAAAAAAAUAAAUGAAAAAGUAUAUAAUAAACUAUUAGGAGAACAUGAUGUUUUUUUUGAGUGUUCUCUCGAUAUUUUCAAUCUACUGCACAUUAGAUAAGUCUCCAAAGUUACCCGUUUAUAAGCAAUUAAAUGUACAGACAGUCAUCAACAACUAAAAAAUACAUGAAAUUGAUCAAUCAAAAGGUGAUUAAAUAUCAAUAUUUGUAAAAUAUUCCAAGAAAAACACAUCAAGUUAAAGAAUUACAAAGGAAAAAUGUGACGUUACUUAAAGUCUUCUUUUAUCCUUAAUGUGUGUCGUUACAAAUGUAACCACUUCAUUAAAAACUUUCAGAUAUACCCAGACUUUACAUUUAUAGGCUUACAACUAUUAUCCAUCACUGCUAGACAAGACUUGCAGUUGCUACAUUUGUUGAAGAAAAUGUGAUAUAUUUUGCUAGCAAACAAUUGCAAUUUCAAUUUAUUAUUAAUAGUUUAAAAGUUUAUAACAUGGUUUUCUGCGGGAAACUAUGCUUAGAGAGUUUCAAAGAGAAUUGAUCAUCAUUCAGCAUUAAACCAUAUGUGUGCAACACUCAAUUUUUGAUGUGUGAUUAUACCUUUCAAGCUAUUUAUUUUACCUAUAUCAUUCAAAUGAAGUUAGCAAAUCAAACGAAAAAAUCUAGACUUAAUAAGAUUGUACUUGAAAAUUAAAAAACACUUUUGUACCCACUUAACAAUGGAAGCUUAUGUUGAAUGACUAAUAUUGAGUAUGUUUAUAUAGUGUAGUCUUGAAGAUUUGUUGAUAAAAACUCUUUGAUAUUCCUCAAUGACUUAAUUUGAUUCCUUUCAACUUCCCAUAAUUAGCAAAAUACGUUUCAACUUCUAUAUUAAUUGAAACUUUAUUAGUGUUCAUCCUAUUUCAUUGUUUCACACAGUAAAUUGAGUAGACUGCUGAAUUUCUCAUUUUGCUCCUCUAUUAUGUAAUUCAAAUAUUACUAUUUAAUUAGAUAUUUAAUUUAUAUUUGGAUAAAGUAUUUUAUUACUUUUUAAUUUCGUAUAGGGGCAAAAUAGUAAUUCAACUUUACACUUUAGAGCUUCAUACAUAUAAUAAUAUAUAAUAUGAAAAUUAUUUAAAAUAUUCUUUUCAAAAUAUAUCAAACACAAUUUUAUUUUUAAACUCUUAUUCUAUAAAUUUAGUAUAAAAUGAGAAAUAAUUGUAAUCUAUAACUACUUAGCUAGAGAUCUACUAAGUAUUUUAACAACAAUAAAGUAUCAUUUUUAUAUUUAUAAAUUUACUAGCUUCCGAGCACGCGUUUUGCGCGUGUAAUCCAUGAAUAUAUUAUUUCUUAAAAGAUAAUAUAACUAAAUAAUAAAAUAUGUCUAAUUGAGAUUUCUUACUUUGUUUUACUACUAAUCGUGACACUCCAAUUUUCUCUCCUCCUAGUGAAUGCAUCGAAAUAAUAAUAUGAAAAAUUAAUAAAAUAAACUUCGUUUAUGAUUCAAAAAUAAGUUUACAAAGCAAAAAGGAAAAAUAACAACUAUCUAAAUUAAAUUUCUUGAUAGUUCCGUUUUAUUGGUAGAAUAAUGUUAGAAGAAAUAGUGUAAGAUUAACUUUGAGUGAAAGGAAAACAAAACCUUUCAACUUUUUUACUUUGCCUUUUGAAUCUCCUGAUAAUUAUAAUGAAUGGUUUAAAGUAUUGUAUUAAAUUUUUAUCCACAAACACUUUAAACUAAUUAGUUAAAUAUAAAUAUUUAAAACUAUGAUGUAAAAAGUCUUAUUAUUUAUAUUUUGAAAAUCAGAAUACUUAUGAAUAACUACUAUUUUUAUAUAAAAUUUAAUUUUUCUUCAUACAUAACUUAUCCACCAUUAAUCUAAUAUUAUAUGUUUCACCUUUUUUUUCCAUAAAAAGAAAAGAAAAGAGUAAACAUCCUAUUUUAUCACAUUCAUUCUUAAAGAUGAAAAUUAAUGUAUAUGUAAAAUUAUAAGUACAAAGCAAAAAAAGAAAAGAAAAGAAAAGAUACAGAUGAGCAAGAUAAUUAGGCAUUUCAUUUUAUUUUUAUCUAUAUAGUGAAACUGAACAUUUGAGCAUACAAAAUACAAAUAUGAAUUUAGAGCAACUUGCUAAUAAAACAAGAAUUCAACUAUAUGAAGAGAGACAAAAAAAGUCUUAUUAUGAUUCUUACUACAAAUAAGUAUAGAACUAACACAUCAAGCUCCGAUGCUUCAGUAAUUAAAUUUUUGUCUAUUCUCGUGACUGCAGAAGGGAAUUUCACAACUAUUACCUCAAAUUGUGACAUUAUUUCACAUGUUUAGAGUUCUUACACACAAGAAUUGUAGGAGUGGUAAAUAAAAAUUUUUCUUGAAAAAGUUAAAUUUAUAGAACAAAAUUUUGGAAACAUGAAAAGUCACAUGAAUUAUUGUUAAAAUAAAUAUAAAAAAGAUAGAGAUGAAAUUUAAUUUUAAAGAUACAUGAAUCUACUUUAAUUUCUCGUCUAUAAGGAAUAAUUACUCAUUUUUAUUUUAUUUAUAUUUGUGUUAGAAAUUUGAAAGGUCAAGAUUAUGGAAUGAGAAUAAGAAGAUUAUAUAUAUGAAAAUUAUAAAAGUUUUAAUUUAUUAGAGAGGCAAAAUAGUAAUUCAACUUUUAAGUUUUGAGCUUCAUGCUUAUAAUAAUAUAUGAUAAAAGUAUAUAGUUGUGCCAAUUUGGUAUUUCACUUUUAUCAUACUAUUACUCACAAAAUAUGGGCAAUAAGAUUAAAAUGAUUGAUAUUAAGAAAAAGAUCAUGAUUAAUCUUUAGAAUUCAUUUUGAACAUUUAGGGCCAAUUUAGAGAAAUUAGAAAAAAAUCUCUUUUUUCAUGUGGAUUAUUCCGUGAAUAUUUUGGAAAUAUGAAUUUUUCAUGUGGAUUAUUAUGUGAAUAUUUUAGAAAUAUGACUUUUAGAAGAUUUCUUUGUGAAACAUUUAUAGAACAUUCGUAGGGAGUUCAGGGAUCAGCAGUAUGUACAGUCUCACAAUUUUUAGAAUCCAUUUAAAGAAAUUUUAGAGGGCACUAAACAUCUUCUCAAUUUUUUAUGUGAAGCCGACUUUUAGACUCUCAACAACAAUGUCAAAUAGGCUCUUAAUAAGUUUUAAAUUUCCUUCUUUUUUUUAAGACAUACGCUUCUAGACUCUCAACAACAACCUCAAAUAGGCUCUUAAUAAGUUUUCGAUUCCCAACGGCGAGUUUAAGACAAAAAAUUUAAAAAAACUAUAUUUUUUCUUUAUUUCUUAUACUCCAUAUUUAAACAAAUUAGGACACUUAAAUUGAGACCGAGAGAGUAUAAGCCUGGAUUUAAUACAUGAGAAUCCUAAUUAAUUAUCAACUGUGGAUGCUUUCAGGGUGGAAAGCACUUUGAACACCUUAACCACAGAAAACAACCAUUUUUUUUGGUCAUAAAUAUUUUCUGAAUGCUCCCAACAUACUGUAGUUGCAACAUCAGCUGCAAGCCUAUCUAUAACAAGAUCAUAUUUUUACAUAUCUAUCGCAAACACUCACUCUACCUUCCUAAAAACUAAAAAGAAGUAAGGUCUGCGUACCACCAUAUCUUUCACAGACCACACUUGUGGAUUACAUUGUAUAUGUUGUUGUUAUUAUACGUGAGCAUAUUUCAAACGUUGAAAAUGCAAGGAAGAUAGGAAGUUCUCAAUCGACCAUCAUAUUGUCAUACGAGCUCUCUAAUAUGCACCAGAUCGAGUACUGAUCAGGCAAUAUAAUAUCAAACUACUGCAUAGAAGCGCGCCUGCUUAAUACACUUUGCAUCAGAUACAGAGGCAACAUUGCAUCUUAUGCUACAUUCAAUAGAAGCAUGGUAUUCAUCUUAUAAAAAAACAAAAUGUGAUGUUAUAAAUAAAAGUAACAAGAAGAAACAUAGGCAAUUAGAAAAGUAAGGUCAAUUGUUAAGGAACGACCAAAAAUGAGCGAGAAGCUAAUAGAUGUGACAGUAUAAUCAAACAGCUUCUGUUAGUUUUAAUCGUGGAACAAUGUUCAUUGAUUGGAGCUCCUGGAAUAGGAGCUUGCACGCAUAGGGCAACUUCAUCGUAGAUAUGUUUUCCCCGUUCUUGCACAUGGAACAAAUGCCAAUCUUCAGCUUGUAGUUGUAAUAUCCCAAUAAACCACAUUUUCUGCAAACCUGAGCCUCGAAUGGAUCACUGGAAAGCAUCAGGCGCUCGUGUAUCAACAUACUUGCACCAUAUGCAAUCAAACAAUCACGUUCCAUUUCUCCCACACGUAAACCUCCAUUUCUACUUCUCCCUUCGGUAGGUUGUCUUGUCAUCAUAACACGAGGCCCACUCCCACGAGCAUGCAUUUUGUCUACGACCAUGUGUUUCAGCUUUUGGUAAUAUAUUGGCCCCAUGAAGAUGUAUGCUUGCAGUGGCAUACCAGUGAUGCCUGAAUAAAUAAAAUCCUUCCCAUUGUAGCAAAAUCCAUGCUUUACCAGAGUUUCACUGAUAGCAUCAACCGUAUCUGCAUGACCACUGGGUUCUCCGAAAGCACUGCCAUAAUGAAACCUACCACACGAAACUCCAGCUUUACUGCCAAGAAGCUCGAUCAUCUUUCCUACUGUCAUUCGGCUUGGAAAUCCAUGAGGAUUCAUAAUUAGAUCAGGGCAAAUUCCACGUUCAGAAAACGGAAGAUCUUCCUGUUGUACAAUGAUGCCACAGACUCCUUUCUGCCCAUGUCUGCUACUAAACUUGUCACCAAGCUCAGGCCUACGGGUCUGACGGAUCAUAAAUUUGAUGCUUAAAUUGUUGUUUUCAUCAGAGUGAAGAGCCACUCUGUCAAUGACAGUUGGCUCCCCUUCAGUACCUUUAUAAGUUUGUCUACUUAGCCUAUAAGCACUAUCCGGCAAGUCCAUUGGAGAUGUGACUGUUGCAACCGUGACUGUAGGGGACUCCUUGUUGAUAUAGAUAUCACCAUUUCGAAUAAUUUCUCCUGGAGAAGCUAGUCCAUCAUCAUCCAGAAUCCUUUCUGCUUCAUAACCCUUACGUUGUGGUUUAAUUAGCCUAUCUGAUGUGAGAUUCUUAUACUUCUGACACAUGGCUGUAUGUUUUUUCAUCACUAUGCAACGCCCAAAACCUCGAUCUAAAGAAGACUUGUUCAUUACUAUUGCAUCCUCAAUGUCAUAGCCACUAUAACUCAUCACAGCAACAGUAGCGUUCUGUCCAGCGCCUAGUUUAUCAUAUCCAACCAACUCAAUUGUUCUUGUAGUCAGUAAAGGGCGUUGAGGAUACACCAAAAGGUAGAGCAAACCAUCCAUCCGAUUCAAUUGGUUGUAGGAAAUGUUUCCCAUAGCUUGUUUACCCAUCGCACACUGAUAGGUAUUCCUAGGGGACUGAUUGUGAUGAGGAUAAGGUAUCAAACCAGCACAAACACCUAAGAUUGUGAAAGGCUCAAUCUCAAUAUGUGUUGUAUCUGGUGUUGCCUCCUUUUCAUAUAGAGCAAUCAAUGAGUUGUUCUCCUCGUU